rnacentral:rRNA from 1 species
CUGAGUGAUCUACGCCCGGCCAGGGUGAAGUGCGGGUAAUACUGCAUGGAGGCCGAACCAGUGAAUGUUGAAAAAUUACUUGGAUGAGCUGGGUGUAGGAGUGAAAGGCUAAACAAACUCAGUGAUAGCUCGUUCUCCCCGAAAUAGCUUUAGGGCUAGCCUCGGGAGAUCUCUGUGGGAGGUAGAGCACUGAAUGGACUAGGGGUUUGAAAAAACUACCGAAUCCAAUCAAACUCCGAAUGCCUGCAAUAGUAUCCCGGGAGUCAGAAUGCGAGGGCUAAGCUCCGUAUUCAAAAGGGAAAGAGCCCAGACCGCCGGCUAAGGUCCUCAAGUGUAUGCUAAGUGGGAAAGGAAGUGAAGAUGCUGAGACAACCAGGAAGUUGGCUUAGAAGCAGCCAUCCUUUGAAGAAAGCGUAACAGCUCACUGGUCAAGCGUCUUUGCGCCUAAAAUGUAACGGGGC